GCCCCCGAGCAUGUCAUGCCACAGGCAGCUGGCGCUGUCACUCCACAACACGUGCCUCUGCAGGAAUUUAGCGCAGCUCUGCCGGGUCUCAAGGUCGCAGCAAGAUGUCUACCGAUAUCCUCGAGAUAUAAAACGCAACCGCGCUCAUAAAAUGGUUUGCACUAAAAACCACUGAACGAGGCCCUCCGCCGGACGCGGGGAUUUAUGAGGUAUCAGUCAAAGCUAAGGGACAGACUGUCGGAGAAAGUGAAUUGGCCGAGCCGUUUUCACAACAUCCGAGGAACACAUGUGAGCCAGUGGGAUUACAGCAGUGCACCGUGUGUCCCCUUAGUGUCAGCAGACAACUCUCAGAAUAGUUCACAAAGAACACUACGCCGGUCUUGAGUUACAGCGUCGGAGAUACACUAAUGAGACCAGAAGCUUUUUCUCCUGCUCCGUCGUUCCACUGAGAUACAAGCUUUUGUUUUUACCACUUACAAUUCACACAAAUCGCUACAUCUGCCAAGAUUUGUCCAGAAGGUUUUGUAACGUGUUCUCGAUGCUCAAUAUAGGUCUUCCCUAAAACAAUCUGAAUGUAAAAUUACUGAGGCAAAGCCCUGAGGAAGUAGGAUGCAGGUGUGAAUGACCAAUCCCAAAUCCAGAUUUACCAGUGUAUCAAUCAACUUAAAAACCUCUUAAUCUGAAAAAAAAUGAAAACUAUACCUAGUAUUUUGUCAUAAUUACGCAUGCAGUUCUCUCAAUCUUCAAUCUACUGGGCAGUAAUUGCAAUCAGAGCGUCUCACAGCGACCGCAGGAAAGACCGGUUCCAAUAUAAGUGUUUAACACCUUUACAAGCUUUACUCUGUGGGUCCACGUAGAUAUUAAUGGUUGAGGACACUGCAGUUUGUCUCCCUUGAUGAGCUGCAACAGGUUUUCAAAGAAUGUCCUGCUGCCUUUAACAAUUGCUGAUACAGGGAUUCAGGGUGACCUUGGAGACUGUCGUUGGGCCUGUAUAUCAUAAAGAUGGCUGAAGUUCCUCUUUUCAAAGUACCACCUAACUAUUACAACAUACAGGUCUUCAGUGCACAUCAGUUUUGUUUAAUUGCUGUCCUGAUUCUUCUGUUAGAAGAACCCCUAAAAUUCCAAAGUCACUUCAUUCAAGCAACUACAUUAAGUUACCAAGAUAUACACAGUAGACAUGUGACUGCAUUGGCGGGGCUCAGGACUGCAACUAAAAUAACCGCAGUGCUAAGAAAUAUUUCAGGCAACAGAAUGUUUUCAUUAUGAUUGCCAGCAGGAUAGCAAUUAAAAUAGCUUGUAUCUACAAAAACCGAAAGAAAGGGAUGUGCCUCGCAAAACCAGAGAAUGAGUAAGUUAAAUGAUGCGGGACUCAUUAUUUGGGGUAUUUUGGGCACAGAGAAGAGCUAUUAUAAUAUUAAUGCUUUAAGACGAUGUGAAUGAACAAGGUGGAGAUAUGGCAGAGGAACCUUCAGCUACCAUGCUGAAGAUCAACACAGAUUGUCACCAGUACAGGACAGCUACAUUGUACUGUGUACACCAAGGAACAAGACUCUAUGUGACUGAGAGGGCUGAAAGAUGAGUACAUCAAUGUCUAGGUGUAUGUUCAAGUAUAGAAAUGAAGGAGGAGAUAACAAGGGAGGAUUUAAGAUGCCUUAAGUCAGACAUUACUACCCUGAGGACAAAGCAGAAACCAAACAAUCACCUGCAGUUAGUACAGAUGGUUACUCUACUUCAGGUUUACUUGUCUGUCCACUUUUAUUUCUAGUCAGAUGAUUUUCUUUCAACUUGGGUGGCAGACAUGAGCCGACUACUAUUUAUUCUUUCAUUCUGGAAAUAAGGCAAAAAAAUGGCAGUGACGAUGAAUAGAUAAUGUUAAAGACAACUGAGGGGCACUUUAAAUAGGCUUACGCUGUGUUUCAGUGAUAAAUGUGCUUGAGAAUUUGAAUAAUGUAUAUAGUUCAUUUUGUUCUCAGUUUGUGAAUUGUACAGUUAAUUGGGCAACAGUUAAUGCUCAAUUAAUAGCUAAGUGAUAACUAAAUGGAAAAUCAGUUUUUGGGGGUAGGUAUUAAAAUAUUCAUAUUAUUUGGCUACCUGGUCCAUGAAAUACCCCAUCGACUGAAAAAGCAGCAAUUCUUCAAGGAUUACGGGUAAAUGAUAUUAAAUGGGUAUUUGUCAAAGUACUGUGCAAUAUAGACUUGCGACACUAGAGGCCGCCACAUCACAAUCUUCUUCAACCACGUCCUGCAAUCGAACCUACUUCUACGAGAGACUGAAGUCUACAUCGCGGUACACAGCAACAGCUGGCGCUGUGUAAAUUACUUGGGCUACGAAGAGGCAGCUUUGCCCUGUCCCCCUGAUACUGUCCCCUGUAAGCUUAUAAAACAGUGGUAGCACAGUGUGUGUGUGUGUGUGUGUGUGAGCGGGUAUACCUAUCCUUAUGGGGAUACAAUGUCCCCACAACGUGAUAAAUAUCCGUUUUUUUCCCUUAUGGGGACCGGUUUCCUGGUCCCCAUAAUAGAAAACUCUAUUUUAUAAAAAUCAGUGACUGCUAUGAAAAAACUGCAAAAACUCCUGUACUUUGUUUGGUUACUUAUGGUUAUGGUCAGGGCAGGGUGUGGGUUAAGGUUGUCAUAGUUAGCGUUAGCAUUUUUCCCAUAGAAAUGAAUGAGCGGGCCCCAUAAGGAUAGGUAUACCCUACGUGUGUGUGUGCGUGUAUUGUUAUUUAGAAGGGCAUCCAUUCCAAAUUAACCCAUUGUGAAGAGAUUUAAAACAAAGAAGAAAGGAUAAUUGCUGGCAUCUCUCACCUUUCCAUCCGCCCUUUCAAUCACUCCCUUCCGAUGGAAAGCUCAGGACACAAACCAAACACUAUUUAGCCUGUUUCUUCCUGCCUGGAUCUAGUGUAAACAAGACAGACUGACUCAGUGUUGAAUAAUUAUUGUUUCACACCUUACAUUUUACCUGCCUUCCAUCUCACACUCAAACACCUCUCUGUACAUUGCUUACCCAACACAUCCCUAAUGAUGUUAUAUUUGUUUUUAAAUACGUCUUAGCAAGAGGAUGUUACACCAAAAGUUACACUGAUGUUAAAAGCCGACUGUGAUUUGUCAAGCUUGCGAUCAACCCCUCAAUCAUCAGUCACUGAUGGUCCUUCUCAUUCCAUCAAGAUCUGAAAGGACUCACAAAGGUCAAAGGAGACAAUUCAGAUGGUGGUAUCAGAGGUAGAUAGUCAGGAUUUUUAUUUUGUUAUUUUGCAUAUUGUACUGCUGCAAAAUAUAUGAUACAUCUCCCAGCUGACUUGGGGACGCCCAAGUUACAGCCAAUGGCCGUGGAAAAGGAGAAUCACAGAAGUAAUAAUCCUGACCAAGAUUUUGUUUCAGCCAAUCAGUUGAGUACUCUGUGACUGUGACUCUUUAUACUAAGUUGGCUUGUUGAAACAAAAUCUUAGUCUGGAUUUAUACUUUCUGGACCUGAACUAUCCACCUCUCAUUUAAUCAAAAACAGGUUAUUACAUAGUCACAGGCUAAAUGCAGUCAGGUCCCCAAAAGUGUUUCAAAAAGUGUUGUUUGGUGUCCAUACUGGAACCAUUUUGACAUGUGGCCCUAACAUACAUCUUCAGACAGAAAUUGUGCCUGUGUUGUUUUCGGACUGAUCUCGUGGUCACAUCUCAGCUUCUCCUGGUGACAGCAUUUCAAACAGGUCAGAUCAGACUUCCUUUUCCACGGCCGCUGACUGUAACUCAUUCUCCCAGGUGUCCCCAAGUCCUCGUGAAAAAGUUAUAUCCAUUGUGUGUUAACUUUAAAUAAAACUGCUUCAGUUGUA